UGAGGGUCACUUUACACAAGAUCGCAAAGCGGACUCGCCCGGGUCUUAAUUGCUAAACCUGAUCGGGCCAGCGUUUGGGUAUCCUGUCCGUCGGAAAUUCAGGCGUUAAAUUAAAGACCGGACUAAGCAUGUAGUACCAACGGCGUAGGGCUUUCGGACGCGGGUUCGAUUCCCGCCGCCUCCACCA
rnacentral:tmRNA from 1 species